rnacentral:rRNA from 1 species
AUCUAUGGCCAUACCACCCUGAAUGUGCCCAAUCUCGUCUGAUCUUGGAAGCUAAGCAGGGUCGGGCUUGGUUAGUACUUGGAUGGGGGGAAAAGGCAAGUUUUUGAAU